rnacentral:rRNA from 1 species
GAUGAACGCUGGCGGCGUGCCUAAUACAUGCAAGUCGAGCGAACAGACGAGGAGCUUGCUCCUCUGACGUUAGCGGCGGACGGGUGAGUAACACGUGGAUAACCUACCUACAAGACUGGGCUUACGUCGGGAAACCGGAGCUAAUACAGGAUAAUAUAUUGUAUCGCAUGGUUCAAUAGUGCAAGACGGUUUUGAUGUCACUUAUAGAUGGAUCCGCGCCGCAUGAGUUAGUUGGUAAGGUAACGGCAUAACAAGGCAAAGGUGGUUAGCCGACCUGAGAGGGUGAUCGACCACACUGUAACAGAGGCACAGUCCAGACUCCGAGGGGGGGCAGCAGUAGGGAAUCUUACGCGAUGGACGAGAGCUUGACAGUGCACAACCGCGUAAAUCAUGAAGAUCUUAUGAUGUUAGAGCGCUGUUAGUAGUAAGGAACUAAUGUGUAAUUAACUAGGCACAUCUUGACGGUACCUAAUCAAAAAGCCGCGGCUAACUACGUG